AGUUACUACAGCAAAGGACUCCGAAACAAGGCAGACAGACUGAAGAACAGGAAUGAUCAGCUUCAUCCCUUUAAGGAGGCCGCCCACGAAAUAGACGCGAAGGCCCAGUUGUUUAAUGAGAUCCGGCGGAGGAAGAAGGAAAGGAAGGAGAAGAAGCGCCAGAGGAAAGGAGACGACUGCAGCCUGCCGGGUCUCACUUGCUUCACCCACAACAACGACCACUGGCAGACCGCUCCCUUCUGGACACUGGGUGCAUUCUGCGCGUGCACCAGCUCCAACAACAACACCUACUGGUGCCUGAGAACCAUCAACGAGACCCACAACACGCUCUUCUGCGAGUUUUCCACCGGUUUCCUCGAGUACUUUGAUCUCAACAGUGACCC